rnacentral:rRNA from 1 species
GAUGAACGCUGGCGGCGUGCCUAAUACAUGCAAGUCGAGCGAACGGACGAGAAGCUUGCUUCUCUGAUGUUAGCGGCGGACGGGUGAGUAACACGUGGAUAACCUACCUAUAAGACUGGGAUAACUUCGGGAAACCGGAGCUAAUACCGGAUAAUAUUUUGAACCGCAUGGUUCAAAAGUGAAAGACGGUCUUGCUGUCACUUAUAGAUGGAUCCGCGCUGCAUUAGCUAGUUGGUAAGGUAACGGCUUACCAAGGCAACGAUGCAUAGCCGACCUGAGAGGGUGUUCGGCCAAACUGGAACUGAGACACGGUCCAGACUCCUACGGGAGGCAGCAGUAGGGAAUCUUCCGCAAUGGGCGAAAGCCUGACGGAGCAACGCCGCGUGAGUGAUGAAGGUCUUCGGAUCGUAAAACUCUGUUAUUAGGGAAGAACAUAUGUGUAAGUAACUGUGCACAUCUUGACGGUACCUAAUCAGAAAGCCACGGCUAACUACGUG